GACUGAUUUACCUUAUAUUCUUUUCUUGGUGCAAUACCCUGAUAAGCCUAGGUCAGCACUCUAAUCCUCCUCUGUGUUAGAGCUGAAUCAGUUUUGCCUAUUUUUAGCCAUAUAGCAGUUCCAGUUUAAGCCAACCAUCUCCUGUUGUCAAUGGAAAAACACAGGCAUACACAGAGAGCAGUUCAUGCCAAAAUCUAGAAUGGAUGUCUAAGAGAGGCACACCUGAACAGAAGUGAAUUUACUUUCUCUCUCAGGAGGAUGCUUUGACAAAAGAUGUUUAUGGAAUAUGUAAUUCUAUAUUACUUCAGUUCCUUAAAAUUAUGCCUACUUCCUGUGGGGUGACUGUUAUUGUAGGAACACUGUAGGACACACAGUACACAGAGACUGUGACUGCAUACUCAAGGCAGCAGAUACGUUUAUCACUUCUUCAUUUUUCCUUCUUUUGCCCUUCCAUCUUUUCUUAUCCUUUUUAGGACUCCUAAGCAGAUUAUAGAAACAUAUCAGGUUGCUGGUUAACGGAGAUUAAUUGUGAAAGCUGUACUACGUACAGAACUUAAUGAGACAAACAUUCCUCUCCUGCAUAUUGAUGUGCUCUUUGAAACACGAAGGGAUCUCUGACACCACUAACGUUAUCUCAGCACAAACAAAGGACCUGGAGACUGUCAAAAGAUAGGAUGGACAGCAUCACUGCCACACAGCGCUCAUGCUCUGCCUUGCCUUUAUCAUCCGCCAGUUCAAGAACUAGUGGAUGACUGCAGCAGAAAUGCUAAAUCACAGCUUGAAGCAGUGAUUGAGCACCUGGUGGAAGGCAGGGCCAACCCAGGGGAGCUCAGCUGCGUGCAAUGCACCUCAGUGACCAGAAGGGGUGGAGCCAGGAUCCACCCCUUCCCAGACCUCAUGUAAGGGUUGGCAGUGGAGGCAUGGGGAUCUUGCUGGAGGUUCCUGCAUACCUAAGGCCUUCUGAGGAGCAAUACAAAGGAGAGAUAAUAUACUACAGAUCUAGUGAAAACAAGGAUUAGAAGAAAACAACUCUGUUGCAACCAAUCAAAGCCUCUGGUAUCCUCAGCUGAAGCAUCUGAUACACAUCUUUGUCAGAAAAUACAGAUGACUGAUUUGGUGUAACAGACCAGUCAUCUCUGGCAAUCUGAACACUUCAUACCUGUAUUUUCCAGGUAGACAGCCGACCAGGUUGUAAGUGGGAGCAGACGUGUAUCUGUUUUUUUACUGAGUAAAAGAAGCCAGCACAUGUAGGAGACUGUGAGUGACAGAAAAGGAUAUCAAAACACACCAGCUAUUGUCACACCUGCAUCCUAUUGGAGAGGAUAAAACAUGAGGAUGAAUAACAAAAAUAUCUGAGGCUCAGUGUACUCUUCAGAGGUAACAGAAGGUAGACUCUGUGAAAACAUUUUUUUUCUUGCUGUACUGCAGAAAAAAAGGGAGAAAAUGAGAUAUCUUGUUAAUAAUUAUGUUUUGAAAAACUCUUUAAAUUCUUGAUUAAAGCCAAGUAAAGCCCAAGGUAUUUGGAUACACAGCAAGCAAAGGACUUGUGAAAAGUUACAGAGAGAACAGAAUACGACUGAGACUUGGAAAGGAAGUGGCCACAUGUCAGAGUACCCGAAGUACAAGCUGUGAACAUUACAUUCAAAUCAGUCAGCAACAUGUUUAUGGAAAUUCAGAUGAUAGCAGUAAUAUGACAAUAGCAGAAGUAUAAAAACAGCCAGCAACAAACAUCAGUUAAAAAUGUACAGAAUGUCUAGAAUAAAUCUUAAAUAAGCAAAGAUGAAAACUAAAACUUAAUUCCUCUGAGGGUGUCUUUAGAACAACUAUCUACAUGAAAGGAUUAAAUAUAACGAUACCUGGGCCUUGGAAUGGACUAGCUUACAUUUAGAGGUAAAACUGACAUCACAUAGUGAACCACAAAACCCAGCCCUGGAAAACUCCCUUCUAUAUCUAAGCAUACACGUGUUUCAGAGCUGAGACUGACUCAGCAAAGCCAACGUGGGAUGUAGCAGUUGUGUCUGCAAAGGCAAAAAACAUGGCAGGUCAGGAAAACAUCAUUCUAUGGUUACCCUACACUGUCAGAAGACUGAUGUGUCCACCAAAGGAACUCAAGCAAGCAGUAAUAAUGUACACGAGACAAGCUUUAUUUGUUCAUGUGACAGCAAUGUGGGUAGAAGAAAGCAAAAGAAAUGGAGAACAAAAUCUCAAACUACAUAUAAUGGAGAGAUCAACGCUUAUGAGCUAAAUUGUUUGUCUACAAAGACAGAACAAUGCUCAAAAUAUAAUGAACAAAAACUUGAAAUUGUAGAUGACAGAAAAUGCAUACUACCUCAUGAGGAGUGGAGAAGUCCAGAGGACAGGACUGCAUUAUUUCUAAUACUUUGUUUACAUUUUGAAAAGAGAACUAUCUCAAGGUAUUCUCAUUUCAGAUGUUUAUGCAUUUAAAAUCCACAUGCGCAUGGAAUAAUUAAGGACUGUAUUAAUGCAGCACCAAGAAUUAAGUCAGACCAAGCAACGCCUACGUCCGCCUACAGCUGAUUAACUUUGUUAGCCAUGUAAUCAAAGAGCUCAUUAAAUUGGCACAUCCAUAUGUCAAGAAGUAUUUGGCAACUGAUAAUGAAACAUCUUAAUACAAUUUAUGCAUAAAAUGUGAUAAUUUCAAUACAAUCACCUCAUGGUUUUGUGCUGUGUUUUACGCAAUGCCUAUGUUAUUGCUGGUGUUACUGCUGUGAAGGGAGCUUUACACAUCCAUAACUUUCACUGUAUCUUCCCAGUUUCCAAACUCUACUCCAUCCCUCCAUUUUCCCAUGAAGAGCCCUGCAAAAAUUCUACAUGAGCUCCAGAAAAGGAAGUGGCCGUUUUCCUACCUCCUGAGCUCUCUUUUUUGUCCAUAAACAGCAGGGAUACGAUUAGCCUGAGUACUGGAUGUAGAAACAGUCCUUGCUUUCUUUCACUUACAGAACUAAAAUGUGUAUUUACUUUAAUUAUCAGUACUGAUAAUUAAACUAUUGUCCAUUUUACUGAGAUCAGGUUUAGACAUCACUGUCGGUAUGUUCUGAAACUAUGGAGUGUGAAAAUGCACUCUGUGCUUCCAACAGCUUAUAGACUUAACAACCAAGUAAGUGUACGACUGUAAAAUGAUCUUUCAUGCACUU
ensembl:lncRNA